UAAAAAGUUGAAGAUGUUUCUGCAGGAAAAUACUUUUUAAAAGGGAGGAGUUUGCUCCUCUUCCUCAGGCUCUGCCUCUUCCUGUUUCGCCCUCUUCUUCUCUGUGGACAUGUUGGGAUUUUAUUUUUGUAAAUAAAUGAAAAUAAAAAUGAGGAAGAGGA